GACGAACGCUGGCGGCGUGCUUAACACAUGCAAGUCGAACGAAGUGGCGAACGGGUGAGUAACGCGUAAUCACCCUGCCCUUCAGAGGGGGACAACAGUUGGAAACGACUGCUCAUACCGCAUACUGAAGGAGGGGAUUGGGUUUGAUUAUCUGGUGGGAGGGUUAACGGCCCACCAAGGCCAGGAUCAGGAGGCGGUCUGAGAAGGGGAAUGGCCACAUGGGGACUGAGACCAGGCCCAGACUCCUACGGGAGGCAGCAGUGGGGAAUCUUACGCAAUGGACGAAAGUCUGACGGAGCAACGCCGCGGGAGUGAUGACGGCCUUCGGGUUGGAAAGCGCUGUUAAUCGGGACGCGGUACCGGAAUAGAAAGCCACGGCUAACUACGUGCCAGCAGCCGCGGUAAUUC
rnacentral:rRNA from 1 species